rnacentral:rRNA from 1 species
GACGAACGCUGGCGGCGUGCUUAACACAUGCAAGUCGAGCGGUAAGGCACCUUCGGGUGUACACGAGCGGCGAACGGGUGAGUAACACGUGAGUAACCUGCCCUUCUCAUCGGAAUAAGCGUUGGAAACGACGUCUAAUGCCGAAUAUGACUUCGGACCGCAUGGUCUGAAGGGGAAAGCUCCGGCGGAGAAGGAUGGACUCGCGGCCUAUCAGCUAGUUGGUGAGGUAACGGCUCACCAAGGCGACGACGGGUAGCCGGCCUGAGAGGGUGACCGGCCACACUGGGACUGAGACACGGCCCAGACUCCUACGGGAGGCAGCAGUGGGGAAUAUUGGACAAUGGGCGGAAGCCUGAUCCAGCAACGCCGCGUGAGGGAUGACGGCCUUCGGGUUGUAAACCUCUUUCAGCACAGACGAAGCGCAAGUGACGGUAUGUGCAGAAGAAGGACCGGCCAACUACGUGCCAGCAGCCGCCGUAACAC